UACGAAGGGUGCAAGCGUUAAUCGGAAUUACUGGGCGUAAAGCGUGCGUAGGCGGUUGUUUAAGUCUGCUGUGAAAUCCCCGGGCUCAACCUGGGAAUGGCAGUGGAUACUGGACAGCUAGAGUGUGUCAGAGGAUGGUGGAAUUCCCGGUGUAGCGGUGAAAUGCGUAGAGAUCGGGAGGAACAUCAGUGGCGAAGGCGGCCAUCUGGGACAACACUGACGCUGAAGCACGAAAGCGUGGGGAGCAAACAGG
rnacentral:rRNA from 1 species